UGGGCUUGACAUGCUGGUGAAACUCCCGUGAAAGCGGGAGCCUCCUUCGGGACACCAGCACAGGUGCUGCAUGGCUGUCGUCAGCUCGUGUCGUGAGAUGUUGGGUUAAGUCCCGCAACGAGCGCAACCCUUGCCGGCUGUUGCUAACAGGUAAAGCUGAGGACUCUGCCGGGACUGCCGGUGACAAACCGGAGGAAGGUGGGGAUGACGUUCGUUACCUUA
rnacentral:misc_RNA from 1 species